rnacentral:rRNA from 1 species
GACGAACGCUGGCGGCGUGCUUAACACAUGCAAGUCGAACGGAAAGGCCCUGCUUUUGUGGGGUGCUCGAGUGGCGAACGGGUGAGUAACACGUGAGUAACCUGCCCUUGACUUUGGGAUAACUUCAGGAAACUGGGGCUAAUACCGGAUAGGAGCUCCUGCUGCAUGGUGGGGGUUGGAACGUUUCGGCGGUUGGGGAUGGACUCGCGGCUUAUCAGCUUGUUGGUGGGGUAGUGGCUUACCCAGGCUUUGGCGGGUAGCCGGCCUGAGAGGGGGACCGGCCACAAUGGGACUGAGGUACGGACCAGACUCCUACGGGAGGCAGCAGUGGGGAAUAUUGCACAGUGGGCGGAAGCCUGAGGAAGCAGCGCCGCGUGCGGGAUGACGGCCUUCGGGUUGUAAACCGCUUUCGCCUGUGACGAAGCGGGAGUGACGGUAAUGGGUAAAGAAGCACCGGCUAACUACGUG